AUUGAACGCUGGCGGCAGGCCUAACACAUGCAAGUCGAGCGGAUGAAGGGAACUUGCUCCUGGAUUCAGCGGCGGACGGGUGAGUAAUGCCUAGGAAUCUGCCUGGUAGUGGGGGAUAACGUCCGGAAACGGGCGCUAAUACCGCAUACGUCCUGAGGGAGAAAGUGGGGGAUCUUCGGACCUCACGCUAUCAGAUGAACCUAGGUCGGAUUAGCUAGUUGGUGGGGUAAAGGCCUACCAAGGCGACGAUCCGUAACUGGUCUGAGAGGAUGAUCAGUCACACUGGAACUGAGACACGGUCCAGACUCCUACGGGAGGCAGCAGUGGGGAAUAUUGGACAAUGGGCGAAAGCCUGAUCCAGCCAUGCCGCGUGUGUGAAGAAGGUCUUCGGAUUGUAAAGCACUUUAAGUUGGGAGGAAGGGCAGUAAGUUAAUACCUUGCUGUUUUGACGUUACCAACAGAAUAAGCACCGGCUAACUUCGUG
rnacentral:rRNA from 1 species